rnacentral:ncRNA from 1 species
CGGUUUACACUGACCGGUGUUGUCAGUUGUUUGAUGAGUGACGGAAUCUGGUGAAAAUCCAGAACGGUCGCGCCACUGUACACAGUCAGACCCGGCGCUCGUCAUCAGCACCG